GAGGAAGUUGGGUGAAUCACAAAUUCUAGUUUAUUAUUUCCUGGUUAAGUUUGACUGCUGUUAAAUUACCGAAUGAUCCCACGUCAUAUUGACAAUCAGUGAGGUUAAUUGAUUGUUGGAUGAUCCAAGGUGAGAUGGUGAUUCUCAUUCAAGAGUUGUUUGUUGAUUUUGUUAACAUCAUUUAUUGAGAGGUGUUCAUUUGGGGGAAAACUGUUUAGCGAGGUUUGAGUUGAUGUUUACAAAAUACGGAUAUUUCUUGAAGUGAUUCAGAGUGGCUUUGAUUUACUGAUUAAAUUAUCUCUGUCCAUGCGUUACAUUGGGUUUAACAAGAUGAGUGAUACAGCAUGGUUGUGUUUUACUUGUUGCAUUACACAGCAGCCAAGACCAACAAAACGGCGGAUUGAUAGGACAAUGAUUAGUGAACCUACAAACUUUGUACAUACAGGACAUAUUGGGUCAGGAGAGAUGGCAAGUCCUAGCGGUAAUGGUCAUGUAA